rnacentral:rRNA from 1 species
CCUACGGGUGGCAGCAGUGGGGAAUAUUGCACAAUGGGGGGAACCCUGAUGCAGCAACGCCGCGUGGGUGAAGAAGUACUCCGGUAUGUAAAGCGCUGUCAGCAGGGAAGAAAAUGACGGUACGUGACUAAGAAGCCCCGGCUAACUACGUGCCAGAAGCCGCGGUAAUACGUAGGGGGCAAGCGUUAUCCGGAUUUACUGGGUGUAAAGGGAGCGUAGACGGCAGUGCAAGUGCGGAGUGAAAGCCCGGGGCUCAACCCUGGGACUGCUCUGGAAACUGCAAAGCUGGAGUGCGAGAGGGGUAGGCGGAAUUCCAGGUGUAGCGGUGAAAUGCGUAGAUAUCAGGAAGAACACCGGCGGCGAAGGCAGCCUGCUGGACCGUAACUGACGUUGAGGCUCGAAAGCGUGGGGAGCAAACAGGAUUAGAUACCCGUGUAGUC